UAUUUACUGGUGUAAGAGGCACGAAAGUUUUUGAUACUUGAGGGUAUAGUUUAAUUCUAUUGUAGAUAA
rnacentral:tRNA from 1 species